UCAUUCUGUCUUAAUUCAACUCUGGGAUUUUCGUAUUAAGGAAGCGGAGACCAUUUGAACAAACAACUUAAAUUCUUACUGUGGCAACUGGUGCGACCUUCAGGAGGACUUGUUUAACUUGGAUAUUAAUUCUGGCCAUGGCCAAUGGCAUAGGCGGGCGUAUAAAAGGGGCCAUCGAGUCCGAAAUCGGAUCAAGUUUGGCUCAGAGGUGGUCGAGGAGGCUGGUAAUCAUGCGAUCCAUUGUCACGUAUCUCGUGUUGGCGGUGGUUCUGGUAGGAUUGGCAUGGGCCUACCCAGCCCUACCAGCCAGCGUAUCCCAAGCGGACUGCCCCACGUUUCCAUUCCAUCCCUGCCGGGUGCCCGCCCAACCUGCCCAGCCUGCUAACCCAGCGGGGGUCACCUGCUUCAACUUCCCAUUCUUCCCUUGUCCCUCAAAUUAAGAGAAUUUCUUUAGGAUUCCCUUAAAGAUGUUCUCUGGGACCCCCUUCCUUCCCUAUUUCUUAAGGAUUACGUUAAUCCUUUAAUGUUAUUUAAUUCAACAUGGGAUCAAACACAUGCCGACCAUCCUAGUGAGUCAAUGCAUUGGGUGCUAAAAAUUUAUUAAAAUGCGUGACUGAUAAAAUGCCUUCGCAGAUCGACAAAAUAAAUGAUACUUUACAUUUCAUGCAGUACAUGUGCUCAAGAUCAAAUCUAAGAAAGUAUAAGAGAGAUAUUAUAUUAGAAUUAUACUGCUCAACAGAUCCUACAAAUUCAUAGAUGUUUGAAAAGAAAAUUUCAUUUUCGUACUGGCUCUGAAGCUGAAGGGUUUAUGACUUCAUCUGUAUAAUAACCACGAGCAAACCUCUAUAUGCCACUUAAAUAAUUAAAAUAUACUCGAUACAAAACAAAAUGACAUAAAGCCUGAUUUUUGUAGUCUAAACAAUUAAAAUGAGCAGUUUGGAUCUGACAGAUUACGCAAUUAAAAUCUGGCGUCGCAACCAUCAAGGUUACGAACUCCGUGAAAUAUGGGAUUCUGAGAUUUUAGCUCUCUCUCUCUCUCUCUCUCUCUCUCUCUCUCUCUCUCUCUCUCUUUGAAGUUAAUGAAGCUUUACUACUUCCUAAAUAUUUCGUGAAAUUUAGAGAUCUAUAUUUGACGAUACAUUUAUUAUCGUAAGGCUAUGUAUUGUACCAAAUUCACAACUGAAUACGUUGUAUACAAAUAAAACAUGUUUCUCCA